AAAGAAAGAAACCGGAGUCCGGAAUGUCAAAAUGAUAAUGACGUUUUCUUUUUCGUUCUCAGAAAGAAGUGACGAAUAAAGUGUUUAUUUGCUUUUUAUAUUGUAAAAUAUGGCUGCUGAAAUUAAACCCGCACCUAGGACACCGAACGACAGGUUUUCUACAACGAAAAAGCCGGCACUUCUUAAUAAAUUGGAAGGUUGCACGGACGACGUGAACGCGGCGGUAGUAAUCCCUGGCGAAGACGGAGUUAUUAGUGUUUGCGACGAUAAGACAGUCCGAGUAUGGCUCAAAAGAGAUUCAGGACAAUACUGGCCGAGUAUUUGUCAGUACAUGCCAUCAGGAUGCACAUCAAUGUUUUACACACCAGAAACAAGACAGCUAUUCAUAGGACAAGAAAAUGGCACUAUUUCUGAGUUCACACUUGCUGCAGACUGUAAUAGAAUAAACCCAACUAGGGAAUACUUGGCGCACACGGCCAGAGUUACAGCGGUGGUGUUUUCCUUGAGCUGUGAGUGGGUGUUGUCAGUGAGUCGAGACAAGUUAUUUGCCUACCACUGCAGUGAAACUGGAAGGAGAAUUGGUGGCUAUUCCUUUGAAGCAUGGUGCACUGCUUUACAAUUCGAUUCACAGUCAAAAUACGCGUUCAUAGGCGAUUACAGCGGCCAGAUAACGAUGUUAAAGUUAGAUAAUAACUGUGCAACACUAGUCACGACGUUGAAGGGUCACACUGGGUCAGUUCGAGUGUUAAAUUGGGCGCCAAUACCACAGCUGCUGUUCAGCGGUUCGUUCGACCAAACCAUUAUAGUGUGGGACAUUGGUGGACAGAAAGGAACAGCGUACGAGCUUCAAGGUCAUAGCAACAAGGUGACGGGGCUGUGGUACGUGGGCGGCUGCCAGCGGCUGGUGUCGUGCGGCGAGGACGGCGCGCUGGGCGUGUGGGAGAUGGGCGUGCAGCGACGCGAGACGCCGGCGUGGCGCGAGUCCGACCUGUGCCAGCUGUGCCGCGCGCCCUUCAUAUGGAACGUGCGCGCCAUGAUGGAGAAGAAGCAGCUCGGUCUCCGGCAGCACCACUGCCGCUGGUGCGGCGCGGCGGUGUGCGGCGCCUGCUCGCCGCACCGCCUGCCGCUGCCCGUCAUGGGCUUCGAGUUCCCGCAGCGAGUGUGCGCCGCCUGCUACGACACGCUGCGCCACGAGCCGUGAGUGUCACUACCGCAGGUCUCCGGCAGCACCACUGCCGCUGGUGCGGCGCGGCGGUGUGCGGCGCCUGCUCGCCGCACCGCCUGCCGCUGCCCGUCAUGGGCUUCGAGUUCCCGCAGCGAGUGUGCGCCGCCUGCUACGACACGCUGCGCCACGAGCCGCGCGAGUCGUUAGCGUCCUUCCACGACAUGAAGCACGCGGUGGGCUCGCUGUUCGUGGACGAGGCCACGGGCCGCAUGUGCACGGCGGGCAAAGAUCGCGUCAUCAAGGUAUGGGAUAUCAGCGUAUUGCUAGCGCCUGCGCCGAAACCCGGCACCAGCGAUCAGUAGCCGCGAUUAACAACCUUAUCGCGAUCAACAUAACGUCGAGAUUCCUCUACUCCAAACACGAAUCUGUCCCUCAACGAUUAUUCUAUACUGGAUGUUUAUUAUGAGCAUAAAAAUCGAAAAAAAAAAUGAAAGAUAUAUAGUUGUACGGGAAAAAUUUAUUUAUUUUUAAGUUAAAAGAUUUAUUUUUAUUAAAUAUGUUUAGUGGAUGUAAUCUUGUGUAGGCAACGUUAUAAAAUAAAUAAAAUAAAAAAAUAUUAUAUAUUUUGUCAAUGUUUUGAGCAUUGUUCAGUAUUGCUUCGUAUUCUAAAAUUAAACUAAGUUGACAUUUUUAAAUAAUCAAUUUUAAUGUUUAUCGCUGUUUCUGGCGGUUUUUCAUGCAAAGUAAUUCAGGAAAAUCAAGAUUUAUAAGAAUUGGAAAUUUUGUAUGGUUCAUAGACAUAUUCUAUUAUCUUUGUUUUCAUUAUCUAUGAUGUUGAUAUCAUCACUAUAUAUCACAUGUUCUAACCUUGGUUGCAAUUUAUUUGGUGAAAUUUUGCCACCACUAAAUACUAGAACUGUCAGAUAUGAUAAUUAUAUCCUGGUGUAUCCUUAAGGCAUAUGCUCACCAUUACAAUCUCGAGAUGAGAUAAAGACAAAUAUAAAGAUAAUAGCGGCGGAAUCGAAAAUAUUAGUCACUUUUUCGGAUUAAUGAGGUAGCAAUGUGUAAUGCCCGCUAUACACGUUAGCCAAUGUUGGCUAUGAUGCUCUUCACACUAGCCAACAUUGUGGCGAAUAUUGUGGUUGUUUCGAAACAUCCGCACUACAUGAUAGCCAAUAUAUUUGCCAACGUAUUGGCCAAUGUGAAUAGCGGGCAUAAGACAAAUUGACAGUUUGUCGAAAAGUCUUUGAACUGUACAGAACUUCUCGUUCACAAAGAUUGAUUUCUCAAAGUCACUAUUAGUUUAGUUUUAGAUAGAGAUAUUUUAUUUGUUUUCAAAUGGUAUGGACUUUAAAAAAUUUUAUAUAUUAAUUGUUUGCUACAUUGAAGUAUUUGCUAUAAAUUAUAAUCGAAUUGUUGAUUUUUUUUCUCUUAAUACUAAAAUUUCACCUUUAAUCAAAUUGUUGCGUUUUCGAAAUAUAUUUGUCACUGUUUACAUUCGUAUAAAACCUCAAAUACACUAGUCGAUUUGACGUUUCGACGAAAUCCUAAAGUGAGCUGAGUAGUGUAACGAGGCGUUUAGUGUUCGCUUUAAAUCCUUUGACUCAAAAGCCGACAAAUAUCGGUAGUUGGGCGAGGCAAAGUUUGUGCCUGUAUUCCAUUAACUUCGAUUAACUUUUCGAGUAGUGUAUUGGUGGUGUAAUGUGUCUUUGAAGGUCCAACGAAUGUUUUGAUAAUUUAGUUUCUUUCAUCUUAAUGUAAGACUGAACCUUUCAAGAUAAUAAUUUAUAAAGAGGUCUUGGAAACAUAGCUAUGUGUGUAACUUGUAGUGUAGAUGUAACAGUAUAAAUAUAUAAACGAAUAUUGUGAAAAAAAAAA
rnacentral:misc_RNA from 1 species